rnacentral:rRNA from 1 species
GACAGAGGUGCCGAGCGUUAGGCGGAAUCACUGGGCUUAAAGCGUGUGUAGGCGGGGCGUUAAGGGCCUUGUGAAAUCCCACAGCUCACCUGUGGAACUGCUUGGCAUACUGGCGAUCUUGAGCCACUUAGGGGCAACCGGAACAAACGGUGGAGCGGUGAAAUGCGUAGAUAUCGUUUGGAACGCCAAUGGUGAAAACAGGUUGCUGGGAGUGUGCUGACGCUGAGACACGAAAGCCAGGGGAGCAAACGGG